rnacentral:sRNA from 1 species
GCUGGGUGUGGUGGCAUACGCCUGUAAUCCCAGCUACUUGGGAGGCUGAGGCAAUAGGCCAGCUUCAGCAACUUAAAAAGAUCCUGCCUCAG